rnacentral:rRNA from 1 species
GACGAACGCUGGCGGCGUGCUUAACACAUGCAAGUCGAACGGAAAGGCCCUGCUUUUGUGGGGUGCUCGAGUGGCGAACGGGUAAGUAACACGUGAGUAACCUGCCCUUGACUUUGGGAUAACUUCAGGAAACUGGGGCUAAUACCGUAUAGGAGCUCCUGCUGCAUGGUGGGGGUUGGAAAGUUUCGGCGGUUGGGGAUGGACUCGCGGCUUAUCAGCUUGUUGGUGGGGUAGUGGCUUACCAAGGCUUUGACGGGUAGCCGGCCUGAGAGGGUGACCGGCGACAUGGGGACUGAGAUACGGACCAGACGCGUACGGGAGGCAGCAGUGGGGAAUAUGGCACAAUGGGCGGAAGCCUGAUGCAGCAACGCCGCGUGCGGAAUGACGGCCUUCGGGUUGUAAACCGCUUUCGCCUGUGACGAAGCGUGAGUGACGGUAAUGGGUAAAGAAGCACCGGCUAACUACGUG